AUGCCAAGAGGUUUGAGGUACCACCCUCAGGUGCUUUACAUUGAUAUUGACAUCCACCAUGGUGACGGGGUUCAGGAAGCUUUCUACCUCACUGACCAGGUCAUAACGGUGUUCUUCCACAAAUAGGGAAAUUACUUCUUCCCUGGCACAGGUGACAUGUAUGAAGUCGGGGCAGAGAGUGGCCACUACUACUGUCUGAAUGUGCCCCUGCGGGAUGGCAUUGAUGACCAGAGUUACAAAUACCUUUUCCAGCCAGUUAUCAACCAGGUAGUGGACUUCUACCAACCCACAUGCAUUGUGCUCCAGUGUGGAGCUGACUCUCUGGGCUGUGAUCGAUUGGGCUGCUUUAACCUCAGCAUCCGAGGGCAUGGGGAAUGUGUCGAAUAUGUCAAGAGCUUCAAUAUCCCUCUACUGGUGCUGGGUGGUGGUGGUUAUACUGUCCGAAAUGUUGCCCGCUGCUGGACAUAUGAGACAUCGCUGCUGGGAGAAGAGGCCAUUAGUGAGGAGCUUCCCUAUAGUGAAUACUUCAAGUACUUUGUCCCAGACUUCACACUUCAUCCAGAUGUCAGCACCCGCAUCGAGAAUCAGAACUCAUGCCAGUAUCUGGACCAGAUCCGCCAGACAAUCUUUGAAAACCUGAAGAUGCUGAACCAUGCACCUAGUGUCCAGAUUCAUGACGUGCCUGCAGACCUCCUGACCUAUGACAGGACUGAUGAGGCUAACGCGGAGGACAGGGGUCCUGAGGAGAACUAUAGCAGGCCAGAGGCACCCAAUGAGUUCUGUGAUGGAGACCAUGACAAUGACAAGGAAAGCGAUGUGGAGAUUUAAGAGUGGCUUGGAAUGCUGUGUCCCAAGGAAUUUCUUUUCACCUCCUGGUUGGACUGGAGGGAAAAGGAGUGGCUCCCAGAGUCCUGGAGUGGUCACCCCAGGGCUUUUGCUGACUCUGGGAAAGAGUCUGGAGACCACAUUUGGUUCUCGAACCAUCCACCCCCUUUUCCUCUCUCUCCCAAGGCCUGACAAUGGUACCUAUUAGGGAUGAGAUACGGACAAGGAUAGCUAUAUGGGACAUUAUUGUCAGUGGGCCCUGGAGGUCAGUCGCUAGCCCCCCUUGUCCCUUAUUUCUUCUCUGCUUCACUCCAACCCACAGAUUUUGAGGGAUGAAUGGGUAGACAAGGACUGAGAUUGUCUCUGACUUCCUCCUCCCCUUGCUUCCAGGGAAGAUGA